GACGAACGCUGGCGGCGGGCUUAACACAUGCAAGUCGAACGGAAAGGCCGUGCUUUUGUGGGGUGCUCGAGUGGCGAACGGGUGAGUAACACGUGAGUAACCUGCCCUUGACUUUGGGAUAACUUCAGGAAACUGGGGCUAAUCCCGGAUAGGAGCUCCUGCUGCAUGGAGGGCGUUGGAACUUUGCGGCGGGUGGGGAUGGACUCGCGGCUUAUCAGCUUGCUGGUGGGGUAGUGGCUUACCAAGGCUUUGAAGGGUAGCCGGCCUGGGAGGGUGACCGGCCACAUUGGGACUGAGAUACGGCCCAGACUCCUACGGGAGGCAACAGUGGGGAAUAUUGCACAAUGGGCGGGAGCCUGUGGCAGCAACGCCGCGUGCGGGAUGACGGCCUUCGGGGUGUAAACCGCUUUCGCCUGUGACGAAGCGUGAGUGACGGUAAUGGGUAAAGAAGCACCGGCUAACUACGUG
rnacentral:rRNA from 1 species